rnacentral:lncRNA from 1 species
AACAAUUGUUCAGCUAUCUGGGCAGCUGUCAAUGAAAUACCUGAGAGUAACAACACUACUCCUUUAUCUACCUGGAUUACUUUCCCACAAAAAUUUAUCUUCAUAAACUAUCUCUAUUAAUCAGGUUUCUAAGCUCCACAGCCUAUUUCAGUUAAAAUCAUCUAUUCAACAAUUAAAAAAAAAAAACUGCAGUCAUCAAGGAUGGAAAUGUAUGAUUUGUGUAAAAAAGUCUUUACUAACUUUACACUGUACCACAGAUAAAUGUGAUUUUGAUAACAAUUCCAUACAAUGACAAAUAUGGCACAUAGAUUUUCUUUAAAAUACUGUUAAAGUAUUUGAAAUCAAAAUAGUUCUAAGAAAGAAAUUGUCAUUAAACAAGUUUCUUACUAUUUCUGACUUUGAAUUAUACAGAAAUUUAAAUUGCCUUAAAUGACAUAGAAAAUUGGGGAUACAAUAAUUUCACUUAGAUACUAUGAGCCUGUUCAUAUAAUUCUGAUUGACUACUAACUUUGGUUUAUGUAUUUAUUAAAAAGCUGAUACUGUAGU